rnacentral:rRNA from 1 species
AAACUUUCAACAACGGAUCUCUUGGUUCUGGCAUCGAUGAAGAACGCAGCGAACUGCGAUACGUAAUGUGAAUUGCAGAAUUCCGUGAACCAUCGAAUCUUUGAACGCACAUGGCGCCUGCUCAGCAUUCUGGCAGGCACGCCUGUCCGAGCGUCAUUU